rnacentral:rRNA from 1 species
CCUACGGGAGGCAGCAGUGGGGAAUAUUGGGCAAUGGGCGCAAGCCUGACCCAGCAACGCCGCGUGAAGGAAGAAGGCUUGCGGGAUGUAAACGUCUUGUGGUAGGGACGAAGCAAGUGACGGUACCUGACGAAUAAGCUACGGCUAACUACGUGCCAGCAGCCGCGGUAUGACGUAGGCGGCAAGCGUUCUCCGGAUUUACUGGGUGUAAAGGGCGGGUAGGCGGGACGGCAAGUCAGAUGGGAAAUCCACGGGCUCAACCUGUGGCCUGCAGUUGCCACUGUAGUUCUGGAGUACUGGAGAGGCAGGCGGAAUUCCUGGUGUAGCCGUGAAAUGCGUAGAUAUCGAGAGGAACACUCAUGGCGAAGGCAGGUUCCUGGACAUUAACUGACGCUGAGGCACGAAAGCCAGGGGAGCGAACAGGAUUAGAUACCCCUGUAGUC